rnacentral:rRNA from 1 species
GAUGAACGCUGGCGGCGUGCCUAAUACAUGCAAGUCGAGCGAACGGACGAGAAGCUUGCUUCUCUGAUGUUAGCGGCGGACGGGUGAGUAACACGUGGAUAACCUACCUAUAAGACUGGGAUAACUUCGGGAAACCGGAGCUAAUACCGGAUAAUAUUUUGAACCGCAUGGUUCAAAAGUGAAAGACGGUCUUGCUGUCACUUAUAGAUGGAUCCGCGCUGCAUUAGCUAGUUGGUAAGGUAACGGCUUACCAAGGCAACGAUGCAUAGCCGACCUGAGAGGGGGGGCGGCAAAAGGAGAAAGGAGACAGGGGCCAGAAAAAAAGGGAGGGAAGAAGGAGGGAAUUUGCCACAAGGGGGGAAAACCGGAAGGAGAAACGCGGGGGGAGGAAAGAAGGAUUUCGGAUCGAAAAACUCUGUUAUAAGGAAAAAAAAAAAGGGAAAGGAAAUGGGAAAAUCUGGAGGGGAAAUAAUAAGAAAGCCAGGGAAAAAAAAGG